rnacentral:misc_RNA from 1 species
GAAAUGCGAUAAGUAAUGUGAAUUGCAGAAUUCAGUGAAUCAUCGAAUCUUUGAACGCACAUUGCGCCCGCCAGUACUCUGGCGGGCAUGCCUGUUCGAGCGUCAUUUCAACCAUCAAGCCCCCGGCUUGUGUUGGGGACCUGCGGCUGCCCGCAGGCCCUGAAAAACAGUGGCGGGCUCGCUGUCACACCGAGCGUAGUAGCAUACAUUCUCGCUCAGGGCGUGCUGCGGGUUCCGGCCGUUAAACGACCUUCAUAACCCAAGGUUGACCUCGGAUCAGGUAGGAAUACCCGCUGAACUUAAGC